GUUUGGAAUAAAGUGAUUAUAAGAGAGAUUUAUGGGGAUUAGACCGAUUGGGAGUGGAAAUAAGAAAGAAAGAAGCAGAAAAAAAUAGAGAGAAAAGGGGAAGGGGAGUGUCCAGCAUUACACAUGGGAUGGAGUUGAUGAGUGGACAAUAUAAGAAGGUUUUAAGCAUGCAUGGGAAGGAGUUUAAGCAUGCAUGGGAUAGGCAUAAGGCUAUCCUAACUAUAAGAUAAGGCUAGGGACUAAUGAAAGUUUUUAGAAAAUUGGGAAGACUAGAUGGGCCGAAUGGUUCUUAUCUGCCGUCACAUUCUAUGUUUCUAUGUUCUAUGUUUCUAUGUUUCUAUGUUUCUAUGUUAGGUGGGAACAUAAUUGGUCAAAAACGUCUCACUGAUAUUGCACAUAUCUAAAACACAUUGCUUUGUGGACAAAGUGGAAACAUUUGUUAUAUCUACCAUUUGCAACGUGAAAGGGUGAAUAACAUUUCAUGGGUUAUGUAAUCU